CCGAACCGGUGAACCCCGGGCCCCCGAGAAGUGGAACGUGCGAACUUCACCGCUGUGCCACCAGGCCAGCCCCAUUAGCCAGGUGUUUUACCAAUGGUUCAUGGUGGGGAAAGCUCUGAUGCAGCGUUUUCACCUGGGACAUUCCUUUGGGUUCAGCGUCUACUAGGUGUGAACGAAACGAGGACCCCUCUCCUGGUCUAACAGGCGAUUCUAGCAAGCAAGCUGUGUGGGCUUAAAGUCAGUAAUCCACGCUGUCCUGUGAAGGAGCCAUGCAGGCCAUCCUAAGCCUGUGUUAGAAUGACCUUGGACCCCUUAUCUCAUGACUGAAGAUGCAGCUCCACAGAUCCACAACAGGAAGAGAUAAAGGGUACCUCGCUCUCACAGUUCCCAGCUGCAUUUCUUAGAGAUGCAGGGAAAAAGUGACCUCUCUGGUCCUUGCCUCCUUCCACACAUAGAUAACACCAUUACGAGCCUUGUUUGAUGUAUAACCAAAAAGCUCUUGUGCAUGUUAUCUUUAAAGCAUGUGGCUAUUAGAUGUCUGAGUCCUUUCCUGCACGUCCACUGCUUUGUUGAAAGGCAUCUAAGCUGCACUCAGAUCUGCAGACCUCGGAGCAGUUCCUAAGAAUGCUGUGUUGGACUGUUUCCUGGGACUCCAGUUCCUCAUCUUGAUUAUCAAAUAAACUCCUUUAAUUAACCUUUACCCAGACUCUUCAUUUCAGUUGACACAGGUUAACCUGAGACAAGCCUUGAGGGGAGUGUGGGCAUAAACGAAGACCACCCACAUGGGAACAAGCAGAGGCUGUUUACAUGGAGCUUGCUAUGGCGAUGGAGUCGGCCACCGUGGCUUGCUUUCAGCAGACACUCAGAGACAGGUAGAGGAGUUGGAAAGCUUCAUAGUGAAAAAUACGAAAGGCUUCAGGUGUGUUUUCUGCUCUGAUUGGAGGUUGCUGGCUUGGGAAGCUGGAAGUGGGCUGACUAGAAGCUAGACACUCUAUGUGAUAGGUUUAGCGAGCAUAUUUGGCUUCCUCAGGUUGGUCCUGAGGUGGACGCAGGGGCAAAAUUCAGGGAAGUUUGUGACUAUGGGCUGAUUGCUAUAGAAGUUGUGCUGUGGCUUCCUGGGCUGAGUGCUGCAGAGGCUGUGGGUCGGAGUUCAAUUUUCAUCUAUGGAAACUGUUUAUUUGUAUAAUCGGCCUCUCACGAGAGACUAAAUAUAAGAAUCCUAGUUAGUCUGGAUUACCUAAUUUCAUCCUGGAAUGGUUAAACUGCUCCUCAGUAAAAAUUUACACCCAAACAAAACAAGGCUGGAAACCGCUAGAAUGCCCAGUUUUAUAGAGUUAAGAAAAUUAAGGUGUACCAUACUGUGCAAAAAUUUUAAAAAGAUGUUUCUGAAGAGAUUUUAAUGACAUUGGAAACGUUUACAAAGGUGGUGCAAAAUGACAAACUUGAUUCAAAAAUCAUACACACCACGUGGCUACAGGUAUAAGCAGAGGUCAGUCAGAGGGUCUUCCUGGCCCUUAAUUUGUAGGUAAGAUGUACUCGAAUACCCAUCACAGGGGUGUAGACAGCCCCCUGCUCUCCCUGGGCUAACUUUGUGGGGAUGUGCACGGUCUCUCUGUGAGCUCCUGCUUCCCUGGGUUAUUUGAGCUCUGGAAUCUCUCUCACCAUCUCACCAGGCACAUCACGCUGCCUGGGACCUGUGCCAUAUCAAUCUAGUCGUGGAGCUCAGCCCUUUCCUUAAUUUCAACAAAAGCUCCCUCACCCAAGGCCAUUGGGUGGAGCUACAUCCAGCCAAGCACACUGAAAACUGGAUGUCAUUCUCUCAGUUUCUCAGUCCCAGGCGUCUUCCACAGUCCUGGCUCCGUCUGCCACUGUCCUCUCACGUCUCCUCUUCUUUCUCUUCUGCCCUCUUUCUUCUCUGCUCCCACCCUCCAGAGGGAAAACAGAUUCUUCCUGUUAUCUUAUGCCACCAAUUCCUCUCUCUCCUGUCUCUACUUGAAAUGCUGCUCUCCCUCAACAUGUCCAAGGACCCUGUCAAAGCUUUAAAGUUAGCUUUGUCCUUUGUGAGGGUCCCCAGAUGACACUCGCUCUGAGAGACAAGGCUCUUUUCCUCCCAGGCCCUGUCCGGGAGCAGAGGAGGGAGGGGGCACGGGUGGGUGGGUUUUCCAGUAGCAGAGAGUGGUUAGUGUAUGAAAAGCUCCCAGCAAAGGCCCUAGAAAUGUGAUUGCCCUUGUUCUACCAAACAGCCCAAAGGGCCUCCUCCAGGUCCUCCGAGCUCUCCAGCUUCAUCAGCACUUGCAGAUCCCUGCGGCCAGCUCUGCAGAUAACUCCUUUACUACUGGUUUUGGUGCAAUUUCGACCCUCUGUUCUUAAAGGCUAGGACUUUUUCUCUCUGCUUUUUACCAAGUCAUCUCAAUCAGUGUCCCCUUUGUUUUUCUAAUGUUUAUCCAAGAAGUCCUUCUUUUGUAAUCUCAGUAUUCAUUUUCUGUUGAUCAGCUCUGAAGGCUUCAAGAAAGUUAUGCUUUUAACCUUUACUGUCUAUUUUUUCCCUUUUAAAAAUGACGAGGAUCCAAGCUGGAGAUGAGCCAUCUUUAUGCUGGGGCUCAGACAUGUCCGGGCUUGUCUAGAGGCGCAGUGGGAAGACCAGUCGGGAACCUAUUUGUAUGAGGGACCGAGGAGCCACCAGGGAAGGACUUUCUAAGAGAGAGAGGGAGAAAUUGGCAGGCACAGGCUGCCACUGAGGAUAAUGCCCUUGACUGCUGGGGGAAGGAGCAGUUUUGAGUAAUGGCUGGUGUAUGCCUCCCAGAUUGCUCCCCAUCCAGCACCCUGUGGAUGUGACUCAGUCCUAAGGAUAGGGGGCUGGGAUGAUGGAGAGCUGCCGUAAGCACAGUCACACACAGUUUCUGUGAGAUAUUGGGGGUGCACAAACAGCACUAUGGGGACAAGUGGAAGGGAGUGUGGAUCAGGAAUGCUCCUCAGUUCAAAGAGCCAUUUGGAACCAGUGUAAUAGGAGGAGCCUAUCGAUGCUGCCGGCUUCAGCUGGUCAAUUCUCAUCCUAGGAGACAACAGCCCAGUGAGGUGGCCUCGCAGAGAAGCACAGGCAACUUGAAUGGGCAAUGGUGGUGCCUUUGGGGAACAACUAAAGCUUCAGGGAGUGGCAGCAGCAGUGGCCUCAGUGCUGCAAACUGGCAGUGGAAGAGGAAGUUGGUAGGGAAUCCAAGAGAAGUGUGAGAUUUGGAAGCUAAGAAGACUUACUAGUGAAGACAUCUAAGACACCCCUGAAGAGUCACCGAGUGUUUGAGGGGAAGCCUGAAGAACAACUGGGUUUCCAGGGAUUUUUCUGGUAGUGGCAAAAGCCAUACCUAGCUACCCUGUAUUGAGUGUUUGACAUGAAUUAUGACAUUUAAUUCUCAUAACAAUCCAAGAGGUAGGUAACAUUAGCCUCAUUUACCAAGGAGGAAGGACGAGGUCAGGGAGGGUAAAGAACUGAAAUAACACACAGCUUAUGAGACUUGAACAUAAGUCUAUUUGCUUCUUAAGUCAGUGCUCUCCCAGUAAAAGGUAGCAUCUCUAAAGAGAAUCGGAAUUCAGUCAACAAAUUCACCCAGCAAACAUUCACGGCAUGUCUACUACAGCCACACGCUGUCCUAGAGGCUCGCUGUACAGUUGUAAAGAAAAUAAACACAAUUUCUGCUCAUAUUAGGUUUAAAAUACGAAUGUUAUUGAAAUAAUAGCUCUAAUGUCGAUUCCAGGCUGUUCAGACCUUGGACACUUGGAUUACAGAAGGAAACCUGAAUAAGUCGGAGGCUUGAGAUAACCUGGAGUCUAAUACAUACAUUACUCAGCCAUGCUUGGCACCAGUUGCCAAUGUCCCCCCCACCACUUGUCUGUACAUAUCUGCUCCAUUACAUUGACUUAGGAGAAAAAAAUUGUUCACUUAACUUCUGUUCUCCAAAGAAAGAGAAGAACUUGUGCUGAAGAACAGUUAAGGACAGGGGAACCAGGAUGCCUCACCCAAGGACAGAAAUAGAGGACACAAUGCUUUUGAUGAUUGCUCAUGCUUAUGCAAGAAUGUGUUGCAUUUAGAAAAGCAUCUACCCAUGUAGUUUAUACACAAGCAAGUUCUCAUCCACAUCCCUUAGAACAGAUGGGAUACCAAGAUAGGCAGGUCAAGAGCAUUGUAAAUAUAUUUAUACAACUGACACUAUGGGAAUAUUAGCAAGGGGGACCUGGUGAAAGUCAAGCUUAACACCAUUGGUAGAAGCUUUCUACAGCCCAGUGUAAGAGGUGCAGGGUACAAGAAGUCAUGACUUGACUCCUAUUUUGACCAAACCCAUGACAAGGGAAGUAUAGCAUAGUGGUUAAGAGUGUGAACUCUUGCGAAAAACUAUUUGAGCUUGAAUCCCUGUUAUGCCACUUACUAGCUGUGGGACCUGGAAUAUGGGAUUUAAUUUCUCUUUGCUUCACUUUCCUCAUCUUUAAAAUAGAGAUAAUAAUAAAAGCUACCUCACAAGAUUAUUAUAAGGAUUAGCAAAAUAUAAGUGUUAGCUGUUAUUAAUAGAGUAAGAGUCUUUGAAUCACUGCUCAUGAUGAAUACGACGCUAUGCACUUACCAAAUUCUAUUUUAGCCUUCCUCUUUCAGGGCACAAAGGAAGAUAAUAUAUCCCAUGGUUCCUUUCACUUACGGUUGGGUUUUAGCCCACUGGGAGUUGGUAGAAGUGAUAUAAGCCACCUACAGACUCAGGUCUUAUAAACAUCUUGCAUGACACACCAGUUUUCUUUCCCCUGCUGCAGCAACCCUGGAAGCCACAUGGUAAGAUGGCAACAUUCCAAGGUGGUGAGCCUCCAUUGGCCUGGGUCCCCGGGAGAUUAGAUGGAGCAGAGUGGCCCCCCACCCUACGCUUAUCCAUGUUGAACUGUAGCCUGAGCAAGAAAUAACUGCUUAUUGUAUCAAGAGACUGAGAUUUAGAGGUUCGUUGUUACCACAGCAUAACCUCACCUCUCCUGAAGAAUUUAUGAAAGUCGUAUCAUCGUUGCAGGCACUUCUUCCCAGCACCGUGGGCCUUCAUAUUCCAGAAAGACUUGGAAAAAUUCGGCAGACUCUGCCCAUGCUUCCACUAUUGGCUUUGGCUCAUGUCUUCUCAGCUUAGCAACUUCAGUGGAAAAAGAGUGCUUCUUUCAGCAAAAGUCCCAAUGCUGACUCUCACUGACCCUCUCUGGACAAAGGACUCACUCCUCAACCAAUCACUGUGACUGAGGUUUGCCACGCCUGGGUCAUACAGCCCCACUGGAGCCAGAAGUGAGGAGGUGUGAGGUCCUCCCCACCCAAACUACAUGACUAGGGAGUGGAAGAUGGGUGGUUACCAAAGAACCACUUGGUACUGAGGAUGGGGGAGGGAUGGUGGGUAGACAAAAACAAGGCGUUCACAACCAAAGGCUAGGAGCGCCAUGGUUGGUCAGCCCUAACUGCAAACACUUCUGAGUAAUCAACAGGCUGCCAUCCUCAAAAAGUGUUAGUCCUCUUAUGCCUAUAUUUGAUUGUUUCGGUGACACUCUUGCUUCAACAUCUUCAAUGGCUCUCCACUGCUCCCUUUGCCAGUCAGCUAUCUUCCUUUUCUACGUCUACUGCACUCGCUUGACAACAGGGCCUGAGAACGGAAAGGGUCUUUGUCUCUAUGAGCAGACUUUCAACCAACUGUAGCUGUUGUCAUAGACAGCUAUGGUGGAGGGCACAGGCAGGAUUACUGACCCCUGAAAUAUCACAGGCAGGUAUCUACUGAGACCCUGGUGGGAAAGAAGAGCCAUUUGUGUAGACUGAAGACAAUGCCCUACCCUGCUGACACGAAAGGAGGGACAUUAACAAUCAAUAAGAGUUUAAGAACAAUUGAGACAUGUCAUAUUACUCUCUCCUGUCCUGCUUCCGCAGUAUGUGUGUGCGCAUAUAUUUAUAAGCACGUAUUAUAUAUAUAAUCUCAUUUAAUACACAACUCCCUCAUCAAGUAGGCGGGAUUAUUCUCAUCUCACAUACGGGGAAGGUGAGGCACAGAGAUGUUGACCAUGUCGCCUGCUGUUUCACACAGCUGAUAAACGGAGGAGCGGGGAGGUGAACCCAGGGCUCUCGGACUCCUAAGUGCUGUAGUAACGUAAAACGUUGCUCGGUUUCUGCGAAGCGGCGCCAAGCGGCUCCUCACACAAGGCCAUGCUCAGCGCUCAGGGCGCUGGAAACUCACCAGUCAUGACUGACUCCCAGGCAAGUGGGUGGCCAGAUUUCACCUCAGUCUGCUUCUUUAAGGGGCAGAACCAGGAGGGGUGGCUUGAUAAGGGUACGCUCAGCAAAGCAGAGGAAGUGGUGGCGCUCAGACCCCCUGCCGCCCUCUCACCUCAGAGAUCUUCCACCAGAUAGAUACCGCCCCCUCCGAAACGUGUCGCUGUGGUUGGAGCAGUGUCCGUGUGGGGACAGCCGGCCCCGCGCCCCCACGCCGCCCGCGCCCCUGCUCCGCUGCGGGCCGCCUGCCUCCUCCUGCCCCCGCGCUGAUGGGGGGCCCCGCGCGCAGCCCCCUCGGCAACCCCAGAGCGCAGCGCGCCGGCCCUCCGCUGCGCCCUUGCAACCCCGAGUUCCCUCCAGCUCGGAAGCCCUGCCUCCGACCUGCUCCCACUGACCCCUGGAGGACUCCAGCCCAGAUGCUCUGAGGAUGACGGAGAUGAGCAAGAGCCCAGCCCCGACCUGCAGCCUGUGGGCUCGCCACGCCUUCCUCGUCCUUGAGUUAAUCAUCCCACAGCCCAACAGCCGGGAGAGAGCCUUCAGCAGCAAGGUGUGCUGGCCGCAAAGGCAGCUCCAAGAUAGCACAGGAAUUCUUGCAGGACAGAAAGCAGAAGCAGCUUGAAGCUCACAGAUCUUCCUGUCUGUGGUAAAAGUCUGGCUCAUGAAGGAGCUGAUGCAGAUGCCCUGAGGAAAAAGGUGGAGGAGGGCUUUGAAGGGCCAGGAAAGAGAAAGGAGAGUGCUCAGAGACCAGGAAGACAGAAAAGACAGAAAACAGCGCUGAUUAUGAGAACUGUUAAAAAACAAAUCAACUGAGUAAAUUUGAAGGUCUAAUUGGCUCUAUUAAACGAUUCACAAAUUGGGCAGUAUCCCGUCUAGCAAAGAGAAGGGAGCUCCAGGAGCUGUACAGAAUGGAAAGUUUUUAUUGGCAGAAGGGGGCCGAACAGAGGAAGUUAUAAAAACAAAGAGUAGAUUGUUUCAGACAAGGUCACCUUCCCUUAGGGGAAGGCAGGGGUCUUAUCAGGCAGAUUACUAGUGUGGACCAGGACAUUCCAGACUGAUUGGUUUAAAAUUCCACUCCUGGGAGAGGCUGAAACUGCAAUUAAGUCUUGGUUUGCUGAUGUGGGGCUUAGCACGAGUGACUCCAUUUUGGGCCUGAUGUUUCCUUGGACCUGAACAGAAGGCAUUGCAGGGUCCUGGGUAAGGGUCAGAUCUCAGAGGACAUUAGGGCUUAGGCAUUGGGUUUCCAGCCUCACCAAGAUUCCUGGGCCCCAAGUAUGACUCAGAAACAGCAAAAUCAACCAAACUGGAAGAGACCUGAAGCAUCAGAGGAAAACUCAGUGUGGGCUGUUGGCUGAUGAGUGGGUGGGACGCCUCUAUACUUUUGGCCAGUUAGGCACAAUCUUUCAGAAGGUUGAGCUCCCAGAAUGACAGAUUAUCUGCCCACUGAACAGGAUUAGGGACUCAGAGUCAGAUUUCCUUUAAUUAAAGGGAAAAAAGCAGAGGAUACAAUAUUCCUAGCUCAGCCGGGUUGUCAAGUAAGAGUCACACCUGGCAUGUAUAGAAGCAUGAAUGGCCCCAUUGUCCUGGUGUUACCAGCCUGUGAAGAUACCAGUUACAUCAUCUUAAUACCGAUAUUUUAUUAGCUGUAAGCUCCCACCAGGUAAUGUAGGAAUUCCAGGCCCAUGCUCUGUUGGUUAGGAUGCUUUAGCCACAAGUAACAGAAAACCCAGAUUCAAAUAUGUAAGGAAAUAAAUUAUCUCACUAAUGGGAAUUCCAGAAGUAGUGGGUUCCAGGUGUUGUACAAUGAGCGGCUCAAGGUGUCAAGGACCCAGCUUGUCUUUAUGUCUCUGCUUUGCUGUCCUCAAGAUAUUGGCUUUGUCUCCCAGUUGGCUCCCUUUGUGGUAACAAGGCGCCUUCACUAGAUGCAAUAACAUCCAAAGGAAGAAAAGGACGCUCUUCCCGUGUCUGCUUCUUAGAAGCAUGGAAACUUCCCCAAAGUGCCCUGUAGAAUUCCCUUUAUGUCUCCUUGGCCGGAAUUUCACGUAUGCCUAUUCUUAAACCAGUCUCUGGCAAGGGCAAUGGGAUGACUGCAGUCGGCUUGAAGGGAAGCUAAAGAGUCAACCAUAAAGAUCACUGAUCAAGUCCUUCCCACCUCGCAAAUGCAGCCUUGCUCACUGGGACACCUCCCCUCCCCAUGGUUGAGUUUAGGGCCUCCUUCAUUGAUGUUAAAUGCUGUCUCAGGGACCCCAGCCUCCCCUUCUAUAGCCUGGAAGGCUCUCAGACUUACUUAUCAAUUUCUGAAUCCAAAAUGGGAAUGCUGCUCAAGGCUUCUUUCCCAAGAGAUUCUUCAGCAGAAACAGCUCCUGAGAGGACCAUAUGCCUGGGGAGAGGAGUGACCCAUACUCCUCAUGCCAGACAAAUCUAACUUCAGCUCUGGCCCAGCCAAGACCUCCAUUGUGUGGUUGCUUCCAGCUUGUGUCCCAGACCUCAUCCUGUCUUCUGCCUCCAAGCGAGUAAAAUUGGACCACCAGCAAAGCAUGCUGCACAAGCCGUGGCAGCCACAUUGGGAAAAGACCGGUUGUACUACUUUUCUCAGAAGGAGUCUGUGUAUAUAGCAUCAUGAUUUCCCCUUCGGGUCAUCCAGUAUAUUGAUAUUAACCCCAUUUUACUUAAGAGGAAACUGAGGCACAGAGUGGUGAAGUCACAUGCAUAAGGUCAUUCAGCUAGUUAAGCAGCAGAGCCAGGAACAUUCUUGGACAAGUCUUUCUGUGGACAUAUGUUUUUAUUUCUUCUGGACAAAUGCCUAGAAAUUUAACUGCUGGUUCACAGAGUAGGUGCGUGUCUAAGUAUGAGAAGCUGCCAAACUGUUUUCCAAAAUAGCGUCUGGGUGUUCCAGUGGCUCCACAUCCUCAACAAGGCUUGGUGUUGGGUAUCCUA